GACGAACGCUGGCGGCGUGCCUAAUACAUGCAAGUAGAACGCUGAAGCGAGGAGCUUGCCCUUCUUGGAUGAGUUGCGAACGGGUGAGUAACGCGUAGGUAACCUGCCUUGUAGCGGGGGAUAACUAUUGGAAACGAUAGCUAAUACCGCAUAACAAUAGGUGACACAUGUCAUUUAUUUGAAAGGGGCAAUUGCUCCACUACAAGAUGGACCUGCGUUGUAUUAGCUAGUAGGUGAGGUAACGGCUCACCUAGGCGACGAUACAUAGCCGACCUGAGAGGGUGAUCGGCCACACUGGGACUGAGACACGGCCCAGACUCCUACGGGAGGCAGCAGUAGGGAAUCUUCGGCAAUGGGGGCAACCCUGACCGAGCAACGCCGCGUGAGUGAAGAAGGGUUUCGGAUCGUAAAGCUCUGUUGUAAGUCAAGAACGAGUGUGAGAGUGGAAAGUUCACACUGUGACGGUAGCUUACCAGAAAGGGACGGCUAACUACGUG
rnacentral:rRNA from 1 species